GACGAACGCUGGCGGCGUGCCUAAUACAUGCAAGUCGAACGCAGUGGGGACGGGUGAGUAACACGUGGGUAACCUCCCAUCAGAGGGGAUAACACUUGGAAACAGGUGCUAAACCGAUACUGAUGGAUGGACCCGCGGUGCAUUAGCCAGUUGGUGGGGUAACGGCUCACCAAGGCCACGAUGCAUACCCGGCCUGGGAGGGUGAUCGGCCACACUGGGACUGGGACACGGCCCAGACCCCUACGGGAGGCAGCAGUAGGGAAUCUUCGGCAAUGGACGGAAGUCUGACCGAGCAACGCCGCGUGAUUGAAGAAGGGUUUCGGAUCGUAAAGCUCUGUUGUUAGAGAAGCGUUAACUAACCAGAAAGGAACGGCUAACUACGUGCCAGCAGCCGCGGUAAUUC
rnacentral:rRNA from 1 species